rnacentral:rRNA from 7 species
AAGGUCUCCGUUGGUGAACCAGCGGAGGGAUCAUU